rnacentral:rRNA from 1 species
GUCGAGCGGCGGACGGGUGAGUAAUGCCUAGGAAAUUGCCCUGAUGUGGGGGAUAACCAUUGGAAACGAUGGCUAAUACCGCAUAACGCCUACGGGCCAAAGAGGGGGACCUUCGGGCCUCUCGCGUCAGGAUAUGCCUAGGUGGGAUUAGCUAGUUGGUGAGGUAAUGGCUCACCAAGGCGACGAUCCCUAGCUGGUCUGAGAGGAUGAUCAGCCACACUGGAACUGAGACACGGUCCAGACUCCUACGGGAGGCAGCAGUGGGGAAUAUUGCACAAUGGGCGCAAGCCUGAUGCAGCCAUGCCGCGUGUGUGAAGAAGGCCUUCGGGUUGUAAAGCACUUUCAGUCGUGAGGAAGGUGGUGGUGUUAAUAGCUCUAUCAUUUGACGUUAGCGACAGAAGAAGCACCGGCUAACUCCGUGCCAGCAGCCGCGGUAAUACGGAGGGUGCGAGCGUUAAUCGGAAUUACUGGGCGUAAAGCGCAUGCAGGUGGUUUGUUAAGUCAGAUGUGAAAGCCCGGGGCUCAACCUCGGAAUAGCAUUUGAAACUGGCAGACUAGAGUACUGUAGAGGGGGGUAGAAUUUCAGGUGUAGCGGUGAAAUGCGUAGAGAUCUGAAGGAAUACCGGUGGCGAAGGCGGCCCCCUGGACAGAUACUGACACUCAGAUGCGAAAGCGUGGGGAGCAAACAGGAUUAGAUACCCUGGUAGUCCACGCCGUAAACGAUGUCUACUUGGAGGUUGUGGCCUUGAGCCGUGGCUUUCGGAGCUAACGCGUUAAGUAGACCGCCUGGGGAGUACGGUCGCAAGAUUAAAACUCAAAUGAAUUGACGGGGGCCCGCACAAGCGGUGGAGCAUGUGGUUUAAUUCGAUGCAACGCGAAGAACCUUACCUACUCUUGACAUCCAGAGAACUUUCCAGAGAUGGAUUGGUGCCUUCGGGAACUCUGAGACAGGUGCUGCAUGGCUGUCGUCAGCUCGUGUUGUGAAAUGUUGGGUUAAGUCCCGCAACGAGCGCAACCCUUAUCCUUGUUUGCCAGCGAGUAAUGUCGGGAACUCCAGGGAGACUGCCGGUGAUAAACCGGAGGAAGGUGGGGACGACGUCAAGUCAUCAUGGCCCUUACGAGUAGGGCUACACACGUGCUACAAUGGCGCAUACAGAGGGCAGCAAGCUAGCGAUAGUGAGCGAAUCCCAAAAAGUGCGUCGUAGUCCGGAUUGGAGUCUGCAACUCGACUCCAUGAAGUCGGAAUCGCUAGUAAUCGUGGAUCAGAAUGCCACGGUGAAUACGUUCCCGGGCCUUGUACACACCGCCCGUCACACCAUGGGAGUGGGCUGCAAAAGAAGUAGGUAG